rnacentral:lncRNA from 1 species
CAAGCCACUGCCACAGAGAAUUCAAGAACAUGCUGAGUGACAUCCAAAAUUGGAUUUCAGAAAGUCUUAAAGUCUUCAGUAGCCGCACAUACUAUAACAUCUGAACCUUUUUUCCCGAUGUGUAAUUCAGUGUCACAUGAUUAAAACGAGACCCUGUUGCAAAGUCGCUAUCACUGUAUGUUUCAUGAUCUUCAUGUUCUGAGUCUGAGUGAGAUGAUGAGCUAUCACUCGAGUCAAGGGAAGUUUUGUACAACUCAAGAAUAUCACAUCUACAUUCAUUACAUGGGGUAUUGCAUGUCCAUGAGUCUCUGCAGUCACAGAGACACUUGCAAGAUAUGGCACAGUUGUCCAUAGCACUCAUGACUUCAGUAAGCUCAACUCGUCGACAUACGUUGGUUCUGACAUACUGUUUCAUUUCAUCCGAAAUAUUCCGCCUGCCACUGAGACAUUGUCUAAAUUUCAUGAGAAGAGCAUGUGCCUGCUUUUCUGGAUCCCUGCCUGCUCCGUCCUUGUCUCUUGAAUAUAAUCCUCAACAUUAUUGGCUGGACCAUAGUGGAUGACGGUUUCCACACUUUCUUAGCAUUGUGUAUACACAACGUAAUUAACGGAUUCUGACAUCAGCCACAUAUCUCGGACCACCCCACGAGUCUCUCUUAACCGUUCAAUUAACGUUCCGCUUGGUGUUGCCACACCUGUCCGCCAUCUGCUGUUGAGAUACUGUAACGGUUCUCGUCUGAAAAGAGGACUUCUCCCACUGCUGGUGCUGUGCUACCCUCUGAAGACGGUCCAGGAAACAAAGAAGAAGACUGAAAGGAUACCACUGGGAGUGCUUCAGUGAGGACCUCAGUGACCGUUCUCCAUCACAGUAGGUGCUCAGCGGAGGGGACUACCUCACCCUUGAGAGGCAGAAACAAGCCAAUCAUGCACUUACGAGAUGGACCUACACCAAGUUCCAGAUUACAAGGACUUGUUCCAAAGAUGGAAGAGUUCCAUAACGAAGCUGAAUUUCUAAAGGUUAUAUGGAAACACUUGUACUCGUCCUCCUCUAACAAGUCUGUUUGGCACUCUGCAUGCUGCAAAGGAGCACAAUAAAUGCGGUGAAUGUUACUCAGGAUCCUCAUGACAACUUUUACCCAUGCUCUGAAUUCAUGGACAAGGUCACCACCGCCUACAUCGUAACUGGGGGACUACAUUACUUCCAAAUGGAACACCUCACUUCUGUCCCAACGUCAAGUUACAUGGGUGCUGUUGGCAAUCCAUAUAAAAUGAUUGAUUAUUUUCUAGGUCAUGCAGCAAAACAGUUUGUAGACAAGCACGUCUUACCGGAGGUUCCUCAACAGCCAGGUCAUGGUCUCCAAAUCAAACACACUAGCCUGCAGGUACUGUGGAAAACUGUACCAGAGACCAAAAGCUCUCCGCAAACACGAAGCAUCCGGAAUAUAAUGCUGAAAACAAUCAGGAUUCCACAUCUUCAGCAGAAUCAAGAUCAUCUAUUUAUCAGUACACCCGUCUGUCGCUCAUGCUUGGGCUUCUUCGAAUAAAUCACAACGAUUCCAUUCACAUGGGAGAUGGUGGCAGGCAUGAUGAGACUAGUAAAGUGGUUCUGUUUAUAAGGCAAGCAAAUGUCUCCUUUGAAACACAGGCAAAGGCAUAUGCUCUCCUAUAUGAACGGCAGGCUUUAUAGAUU